rnacentral:rRNA from 1 species
CCUACGGGUGGCAGCAGUGAGGAAUAUUGGUCAAUGGACGGAAGUCUGAUCCAGCGACGCCGCGUGAGUGAAGAAGUAUUUCGGUAUGUAAAGCUCUAUCAGCAGGGAAGAAAGAAAUGACGGUACCUGGCUAAGAAGCCCCGGCUAACUACGUGCCAGCAGCCGCGGUAAUACGUGGGGGGCAAGCGUUAUCCGGAUUUACUGGGUGUAAAGGGAGCGUAGACGGCGAUGCAAGUCUGAAGUGAAAGGCGGGGGCCCAACCCCCGGACUGCUUUGGAAACUGUAUGGCUGGAGUGCAGUAGAGGUAAGUGGAAUUCCUAGUGGAGCGGUGAAAUGCGUAGAUAUUAGGAGGAACACCAGUGGCGAAGGCGGCUUACUGGACUGUAACUGACGUUGAGGCUCGAAAGCGUGGGGAGCAAACAGGAUUAGAUACCCCUGUAGUC